GAUUUGAUCAGUCUGGUUGCUUGCUAUAUUCCAGGACUUAUAUGGUCCUGGGAAUAAUCAAAGUUCAUAUAUAUGGU
rnacentral:pre_miRNA from 14 species